CACCCAGGACGGUGGAUCACUCGGCUCGUGGGUCGAUGAAGAACGCAGCAAAUAGCGCGUCGACAUGUGAACUGCAGGACACAUGAACAUCGACGUUUCGAACGCACAUUGCGGUCCAUGGAUUCCGUUCCCGGGCCACGUCUGGCUGAGGGUCG
rnacentral:rRNA from 1 species